rnacentral:rRNA from 1 species
CAAUAGCGUAUAUUAAAGUUGUUGCGGUUAAAAAGCUCGUAGUUGGAUUUCUGCUGAGGACGAUCGGUCCGCCCUCUGGGUGAGUAUCUGGCUCGGCCUUGGCAUCUUCUUGGAGAACGUUACUGCACUUGACUGUGUGGUGCGGUAUCCAGGACUUUUACUUUGAGGAAAUUAGAGUGUUUCAAGCAGGCGCACGCCUUGAAUACAUUAGCAUGGAAUAAUAAGAUAGGACCUUGGUUCUAUUUUGUUGGUUUCUAGAGCUGAGGUAAUGAUUAAUAGGGAUAGUUGGGGGCAUUCGUAUUUAACUGUCAGAGGUGAAAUUCUUGGAUUUGUUAAAGACGGACUACCGCGAAAGCAUUUGCCAAGGAUGUUUUCAUUGA